CCUACGGGAGGCAGCAGUGAGGAAUAUUGGUCAAUGGACGCAAGUCUGAACCAGCCAUGCCGCGUGAAGGAAGACGGUUCUAUGAAUUGUAAACUUCGUUUGUACGGGGGUAAACGCAGAUACGCGAAUCUGUCUGAAAGUACCGUACGAAUAAGGAUCGGCUAACUCCGUGCCAGCAGCCGCGGUAAUACGGAGGAUUCAAGCGUUAUCCGGAUUUAUUGGGUUUAAAGGGUGCGUAGGCGGUCCGGUAAGUUAGAGGUGAAAUCCCCAGGCUCAACUUCGGAAUGGCCGUUGAUACUGGUUGGCUAGAGAGUAGGUGCGGUAGGCGGAAUGUGUGGUGUAGCGGUGAAAUGCUUAGAGAU
rnacentral:rRNA from 1 species